UAGGGAAUAUUGGACAAUGGGGGCAACCCUGAUCCAGCCAUGCCGCGUGAGUGAAGAAGGCCCUCGGGUUGUAAAGCUCUUUUGUCCGGAAAGAAAAGCAUUCGGUGAAUACCCGGAUGUUCUGACGGUACCGGAAGAAUAAGCACCGGCUAACUUCGUGCCAGCAGCCGCGGUAAUACGGAGGGUGCAAGCGUUACUCGGAAUUACUGGGCGUAAAGCGUGCGUAGGUGGUUGUUUAAGUCUGAUGUGAAAGCCCUGGGCUCAACCUGGGAAUGGCAUUGGAAACUGGGCAGCUAGAGUGCGGUAGAGGGUAGUGGAAUUCCCGGUGUAGCAGUGAAAUGCGUAGAGAUCGGGAGGAACAUCUGUGGCGAAGGCGACUGCCUGGACCAGCACUGACACUGAGGCACGAAAGCGUGGGGAGCAAACA
rnacentral:rRNA from 1 species